GGAUGAACGCUGGCGGCGUGCCUAAUACAUGCAAGUCGAGCGAACAGACAAGGAGCUUGCUCCUUUGACGUUAGCGGCGGACGGGUGAGUAACACGUGGGUAACCUACCUAUAAGACUGGGAUAACUUCGGGAAACCGGAGCUAAUACCGGAUAAUAUUUCGAACCGCAUGGUUCGAUAGUGAAAGAUGGUUUUGCUAUCACUUAUAGAUGGACCCGCGCCGUAUUAGCUAGUUGGUAAGGUAACGGCUUACCAAGGCGACGAUACGUAGCCGACCUGAGAGGGUGAUCGGCCACACUGGAACUGAGACACGGUCCAGACUCCUACGGGAGGCAGCAGUAGGGAAUCUUCCGCAAUGGGCGAAAGCCUGACGGAGCAACGCCGCGUGAGUGAUGAAGGUCUUCGGAUCGUAAAACUCUGUUAUUAGGGAAGAACAUACGUGUAAGUAACUAUGCACGUCUUGACGGUACCUAAUCAGAAAGCCACGGCUAACUACGUGCCAGCAGCCGCGGUAAUACGUAGGUGGCAAGCGUUAUCCGGAAUUAUUGGGCGUAAAGCGCGCGUAGGCGGUUUUUUAAGUCUGAUGUGAAAGCCCACGGCUCAACCGUGGGAGGGUCAUUGGGAAACUGGAAAACUUGAGUGCAGAAGAGGAAAGUGGAAUUUCCAUGUGUAGCGGUGAAAUGCGCAGAGAUAUGGAGGAACACCAGUGGCGAAGGCGACUUUCUGGUCUGUAACUGACGCUGAUGUGCGAAAGCGUGGGGAUCAAACAGGAUUAGAUACCCUGGUAGUCCACGCCGUAAACGAUGAGUGCUAAGUGUUAGGGGGUUUCCGCCCCUUAGUGCUGCAGCUAACGCAUUAAGCACUCCGCCUGGGGAGUACGACCGCAAGGUUGAAACUCAAAGGAAUUGACGGGGACCCGCACAAGCGGUGGAGCAUGUGGUUUAAUUCGAAGCAACGCGAAGAACCUUACCAAAUCUUGACAUCCUUUGACAACUCUAGAGAUAGAGCCUUCCCCUUCGGGGGACAAAGUGACAGGUGGUGCAUGGUUGUCGUCAGCUCGUGUCGUGAGAUGUUGGGUUAAGUCCCGCAACGAGCGCAACCCUUAAGCUUAGUUGCCAUCAUUAAGUUGGGCACUCUAAGUUGACUGCCGGUGACAAACCGGAGGAAGGUGGGGAUGACGUCAAAUCAUCAUGCCCCUUAUGAUUUGGGCUACACACGUGCUACAAUGGACAAUACAAAGGGCAGCGAAACCGCGAGGUCAAGCAAAUCCCAUAAAGUUGUUCUCAGUUCGGAUUGUAGUCUGCAACUCGACUACAUGAAGCUGGAAUCGCUAGUAAUCGUAGAUCAGCAUGCUACGGUGAAUACGUUCCCGGGUCUUG
rnacentral:rRNA from 1 species